GUUCUACUCACCACUAGGUCCAGCAGGUCAGAGGUAGUGUGUGUUCUACUCACCACUAGAUCCAGCAGGUCAGAGGUAGUGUGUUCUACUCACCACUAGUUCCAGCAGGUCAGAGGUAGUGUGUUCUACUCACCACUAGUUCCAGCAGGUCAGAGGUAGUGUGUUCUACUCCCCACUAGUUCCAGCAGGUCAGAGGUAGUGUGUGUUCUACUCACCACUAGAUCCAGCAGGUCAGAGGUAGUGUGUUCUACUCACCACUAGAUCCAGCAGGUCAGAGGUAGUGUGUUCUACUCACCACUAGUUCCAGCAGGUCA